rnacentral:rRNA from 1 species
AUUGAACGCUGGCGGCAGGCCUAACACAUGCAAGUCGAACGAGUGGCGAACGGGUGAGUAAUGUCUGGGACACUGCCUGAUGGAGGGGGAUAACUACUGGCAACGGUAGCUACUACCGCAUACCAUCGGAUGUGCCCAGGUGGGACUAGCUAGUAGGUGGGGGAACGGCUCACCUCGGCGACGAUCCCUAGCUGGUCUGAGAGGAUGACCAGCAACACUGGAACUGAGACACGGUCCAGACUCCUACGGGAGGAAGCAGUGGGGAAUAUUGGACAAUGGGCGCAAGCCUGAUGCAGCCAUGCCGCGUGUAUGAAGAAGGCCUUCGGGGUGUAAAGUACUUUCAGCGGGGAGGCGUUACCCGCAGAAGAAGCACCGGCUAACUCCGUGCCAGCAGCCGCGGUAAUUC